GAAUUCCCUUCUUGAGAUCAUAGUGAUGAUCCAAGUAGCUCCCAUCCUUUGGAAUAAGCAAGCAAAUAAGCAAAUACUCAAGCAAUCAAUCAAGCAAGCUCUUAGGAAUCUUCCAAUGGAUCUUGUAUCUCUCACUUUAGAUGCACAUGACAAUGGUCCUUCAAUUUGGCUCAUGUUGGAAUCCCUAGCACAAGAACACACACAUAAAAAAAAGUUC
rnacentral:lncRNA from 1 species